CUACGGGUUGCUGCAGUGAGGAAUAUUGCACAAUGGGGGGAACCCUGAUGCAGCAACGCCGCGUGGAGGAUGACGCAUUUCGGUGUGUAAACUCCUUUUAUAUGUCAAGGAAAUGACGGUAGCAUAUGAAUAAGCACCGGCUAACUCCGUGCCAGCAGCCGCGGUAAUACGGAGGGUGCAAGCGUUACUCGGAAUCACUGGGCGUAAAGGACGCGUAGGCGGGUUGGAAAGUCAGGUGUGAAAUCCUACAGCUUAACUGUAGAACUGCACUUGAAACUUCUAAUCUAGAGUAUGGGAGGGGGAGAUGGAAUUAGUGGUGUAGGGGUAAAAUCCGUAGAUAUCACUAGGAAUGCCUAAAGCGAAGGCGAUCUCCUGGAACAUUACUGACGCUAAGGCGUGAAAGCGUGGGGAGCAAACAGGAUUAGAUACCCCGGUAGUC
rnacentral:rRNA from 1 species